rnacentral:tRNA from 1 species
GUGAUUGUGGCUCAGUGGUAGAGCACUUGCCUAGCAUGUGUUCGAUCCUGGGUUCAAUCCUCAGCACCACA